AUAUUAAAGUUGUUGCAGUUAAAAAGCUCGUAGUUGGAUUUCGGGUGGGUUGCAACGGUCCGGUUCGCUGUGUACUGUUGCGGCCUAUCUUUCUGCCGGGGACGGGCUCUUGGGCUUCAUUGUCUGGGAUCCGGAGUCGGCGAGGUUACUUUGAGUAAAUUAGAGUGUUCAAAGCAAGCUUACGCUCUGAAUACAUUAGCAUGGAAUAACACGAUAGGACUCUGGCCUAUCUUGUUGGUCUGUAGGACUGGAGUAAUGAUUAAGAGGGACAGUCGGGGGCAUUCGUAUUUCAUUGUCA
rnacentral:rRNA from 1 species